GGUCUUAGCUAGGAUCUUAGAUCUUGAGCGUGUUUCUAAAUGACCAGGGUGUGCAUAUUUGUAGUUAUGCUAGCCAACAACAGACAAUGCCUGCAUGUCGUUGUUGUAUGCUUUGCAACCAAAUACAAGGCUAGUUCACAUUGCGUACUGACAUUAAAAUUUUAAGUUAUUUCAGCAACUCUUGGGGGUAUUUAAACCAUUUUAAUACCAUAUGGUCUCAUUAUCCAUCAAAACAUUAAAACAUCACGGAUCACUUUUUCCAAUUUCAACAACUACAGUAGAUUUUAGAAACUUUCUUACGACGUAAAUUGGAAGAAAUUCUGUCUGUUGUAAGUAGGAACACCUUAUUUUAUGAACCUAUACACGACCUUAUAUAAAUAAUGAAGCCGCGUUCAUUUUAUCUAGCCGUGUUUUUCUGUUUUUGGCCGCGAUAACACGGC